GUGUGUACACGUCUGUAACACGACGUUAAUAGUGUGAUUAAGGUGUGUACACGUCUGUAACACGUGUUAAUAGUGUGAUUAAGGUGUGUACACGUCUGUAACACGACGUUAAUAGUGUGAUUAAGGUGUGUACACGUCUGUAACACGUGUUAAUAGUGUGAUUAAGGUGUGUACACGUCUGUAACACGUGUUAAUAGUGUGAUUAAGGUGUGUACACGUCUGUAACACGUGUUAAUAGUGUGAUUAAGGUGUGUACACGUCUGUAACGCGACGUUAAUAGUGUGAUUAAGGUGUGUACACGUCUGUAACACGUGUUAAUAGUGUGAUUAAGGUGUGUACACGUCUGUAACACGACGUUAAUAGUGUGAUUAAGGUGUGUACACGUCUGUAACACGUGUUAAUAGUGUGAUUAAGGUGUGUACACGUCUGUAACGCGACGUUAAUAGUGUGAUUAAGGUGUGUACACGUCUGUAACACGUGUUAAUAGUGUGAUUAAGGUGUGUACACGUCCGUAACGUGACUAAAACAGGAAAAACUCCACACGUUUAAUUCCAUCUGUGUUUACUUCGAGUGUGACUUUAAUCAGAUUAAGAUCAUCAGUAAUCUCUGUUUACAUGCUGCUGUCUUAAUCAGAGUAUCGUCUUAAUCGGAUUAAUAUCGGAUUAUCGCCGUCCGUGUAAACAAACUGAUUGUCUCGACAUCAUUUCCUCUCCUUCGUGGCGGGCCGAUCUGAGUAAUCACUCUUUUAUUACAGUCGGCUUUAUUUACAGAAAUGUUUUCAUGGCCAAACCGAGCGAGCGAUUCCUGCCGCAUUUACAAACCUUUCAGCUGCAUUCGUUUUCUGCGUACUCGUGUG
ensembl:lncRNA